CAGCAGCCGCGGUAAUACGAAGGUCCCGAGCGUUGUUCGGAAUCACUGGGCGUAAAGGGAGCGUAGGCGGCGUGGUAAGUCAGAUGUGAAAUCCCGGGGCUCAACCCCGGAACUGCAUCCGAUACUGCCAUGCUAGAGGAUUGGAGAGGUAGCUGGAAUUCUUGGUGUAGCAGUGAAAUGCGUGGAGAUCAAGAGGAACACUCGUGGCGAAAGCGAGCUACUGGACAAUAACUGACGCUGAGGCUCGAAGGCCAGGGUAGCGAAAGGGAUUAGAUACCCCCGUAGUCCCUGUCUCUUAUAC
rnacentral:rRNA from 1 species